UACGUAGGAGGCAAGCGUUGUCCGGAGUUACUGGGCGUAAAGCGCACGCAGGCGGUCUUGGCAGUCUGUAGGGACAGGGCACGGCUCAACCGUGUCAGGCUUAUGGAAACUGCAAGACUUGAGGGCUUCAGAGGGAUGGGGAAUUCCGGGUGGAGUGGUGAAAUGCGUAGAGAUCCGGAAGAACACCAAAGGCGAAGGCACCAUCCUGGGGAGUCACUGACGCUCGGGUGCGAAAGCUAGGGGAGCGAACGGG
rnacentral:rRNA from 1 species